GAUACAUCGGCUAUCUCGGAUUCCUCCGUAAGAUAGGCCUCGUGGCUAACGGUCGCCAUAUUGCCUUGUAUUACUACUUUACUACCCAAAAGGUUGUCAGUCUAUUGUUAUGAGGCUGUAUACAUGCGCGUUGAACUAGCGCCAAACUUUUUACCGAAACUUUGAUAUUAAGAGCACUAUUAACGUUCAUUUGUGUUGCAUUUUGACCUAUUAUCCAAGUGAUUUACUUUUCCAUUAUUAUUUAAUCACCCUAUCAUCCAAUUUUUAAGAUGAAAGUACGGUGUUUACAAAACCAACCAAACCGAAAGUGAAACUGGAUGCAUUACGUUUCGCGAUGUAAACAUUAAAUAUUUGUUCAGUUUGAGGAAGCGAAUCGAUAAUAGACGUUGGAAUAUGUAUGCAAUACAGACUAUCAUUGCCGAUUGUAGUACUGGCUAAAAAAUACCUUUUAUGACAGGUAUACUGGAUUAUGAAAGACUGAUAAACAUAAAAUUGACAACUCAUCUCCCCAACGAUACUUUGUGUGGCUCAUUCUCAGAACAAACCCAUAGUCAGUGAGAAAACUACAGUGUAAAAAGACCACUUGAUUGUGACAAUUAUGGCUGACAAAGCAAAUGUUAUCAUUUAAAAUAAAGAAAACUUCCAGUUCAA